rnacentral:rRNA from 1 species
GGGGAAUUUUCCGCAAUGGGCGAAAGCCUGACGGAGCAACGCCGCGUGAGGGAUGAAGGCCUCUGGGCUGUAAACCUCUUUUAUCAAGGAAGAAGAUCUGACGGUACUUGAUGAAUAAGCCACGGCUAAUUCCGUGCCAGCAGCCGCGGUAAUACGGGAGUGGCAAGCGUUAUCCGGAAUUAUUGGGCGUAAAGCGUCCGCAGGCGGCCCUACAAGUCUGCUGUUAAAAAGUGGAGCUUAACUCCAUCAUGGCAGUGGAAACUGUUGGGCUUGAGUGUGGUAGGGGCAGAGGGAAUUCCCGGUGUAGCGGUGAAAUGCGUAGAUAUCGGGAAGAACACCAGUGGCGAAGGCGCUCUGCUGGGCCAUCACUGACGCUCAUGGACGGAAGCCAGGGGAGCGAAAGGGAUUAGAUACCCCAGUAGUCAUGGGGAAUUUUCCGCAAUGGGAUUAGAUACCCCAGUAGUC